GUGAUGUCAAAGGCCCUUGCCAAGUCUCUGGGACAGUGGCCUGAUUGUUGAAGGAAGGAACUUACUGGAAGAACAGUGAAUGGUGUUUUCAACAAGGGCAUGGAGGGAUUCCACACAGUCUUAUAAAGGAGGGCUGAGAAAAACGCCUGCCUGGAUCACAGUCUGCGACAUCCUCAUCCCUUCCUCUCCUCUCUCCGCUCCUGCCCAGUGUGCACUGACGUCCUCCAUGUCUCCAUCGCCCGCCAUCUUGUAUGCUGGGAAAUCUCAGCCAUUGCUGUUCUCAGGAAAUUCUAAGGAGAUUCCAACCUGAUUCAUCACAAAAUAGCACCACCAACAUCUCGCUUAUGAAUCCGUUUAGUUAAGCAGACCCUGCAGAAAUCCCCUUUCCUUCCUUUCAAGGCCUGAAAUCUGCCUCAAUAUUCAGUAGGCAAGACGGUGUAGAAAUACAAAGUGCUCAGCCAUUUACCAGUGGUACCUCAGGCACAUCAUCCAGCUUCUAUGAGGUUCUGAAGUUCACUGACUACAAACAAAACGGGUACAAUACUUAUUUCAGAGGACAUUAUGAGAGUUUUACUAGAAAGCGACGUUGCCUAGUGGAGCGCCUUGCACUCAUGGAGGAAAAUCACUAAAUAAUGCUUAUAAUGAUGGCUAAUUUAAUAGAGAUAGCUGAAAACCUGACUUUUUAUUUCCCGCCCAGGGGGAAAAAAAUGUGAAUUAGAGCUUCAAUGACAAGCACCUACUUACUAACUUUAUUUUCUUUACUGGUAUGAAUUAGUCCUGCAAAGGACUAGGCUUCAAGUUCUGCCAUAUUUCAAAAUUUGUUAAACGUAGGAUUUUUAAAUGAGUCUUGAUUGGAAAUAGGGAA
rnacentral:lncRNA from 1 species